UCAUCAGUCUCUGUCAUGACGGGGAGAAAGAGGCUUAUUGAAGGUACAGAAAUGGAAGCAAAAUGUGUUCUACUUCUUGCAGUAAUCCUUAACAAAGUAGCCAGUGCCCCAGAAUCUGUGUUUGCUCUAGAGGGAAACUCUGUCACCCUGAUCAUGAAGGAAAAUUACCAUCUUGAUCCAAAUGACGUAACCUGGACCUUUAAUGAAUCAUUUGAUAUUGUUAGAUAUUAUCCACACUAUAAUAAAUCUCGCCAGCUAAGAGUCCUAGGCCUUUAUAAGGGUAGAGUAGAAUUUGAUAGCACCACGUUCUCUCUGGAGCUGAAGAACCUGCAGAAGAAUGACAGCGGACUCUACAAAGGAGAGAUACAUUCUGAGAACUGCACUAUUGUAAUAGUAUACAGGCUCUCUAUUUUCGAGAAAGUGUCUGCCCCUGUCUUGACUGUGGAGCCUGACCUGUCUAGUGGUGACCUCUGUAAUGUGACAGUAACAGCGAACUGUACAGCUGGUGAACUCACU